CUCGUAGCAGCUUCUCACCGAGCGAACAGGGCUGAUGGCCUUCAUGUUUUCCGUUUUUUUUUUUUUUUUACUUUCUUUUUCACAACACAAAAUCCAAGCGACACGGAUAUCCAGUGACUCGCAGCAACUCAAACCUGCUACACAUACAACUGUCACCCUGCCCGCGGAUUUAUAUAGCGUGCCCGUGUGUAGCUCCGCCUCUUCUCAAAAUAAACAACCCGUCAGCCAAUGAAAAUGGUUCAUGCAAAUGAGGCGCGAGGCGGGUUCGAGUCUUUAACUGGUGAUUGGUUGAAUUGAAGCGUCAGUCAAAGGCAAUGUAGUGGAAUGAGGAAAGCCGCCAGAACAGAGCAGAGCAGUUUUAAUAAACUAAAAUUGCCGAAAAUAAUCUGGGUGAUGAAUUCUAGUGGAGAUUUGAGGGCAGUGAACCCAAACAGCUCAGUGUCAGCAAGAGCAACGGCAUGCAGCUGGAAGAAGAAGCACAGCUGGCUCUGUUUCUGCUGCUGUAGAGUUUUGUAGUUAAAUGAUCACCAAGGCCUGGACAGUUACUCAGCCUGAGGCAAUUUUUACUCAAGCACCAGCUGAGGGACUGACAUGCAUUACACUUUAUGAGCAUGUUUCAGUGUCAUGUUGUCUUCUGCAUUCUUCUUUUUAUUUAUUUUUCAUUUUUGCAUGGAUGCUUUUUUGGGUGUUAUGUGUAUAUGCCAAAAUACAUGAAUGCGCUGGCGGCCCAGCUGUGUGUCCUAGCCCGCUCCAGCUGUGUUGAUCUAACGCGCGACUCCCAGACAGCCUGGCGCCAGCCUCGUGACGUCACCCAUUCACGCGCUCCAGCGCUCUCCACCGGCCAGGAGCUCGAGCAGCAGCUCUCAUUAGUCAACCGAGAUGCCAUUCAAGUGGGCAGCAACAAAGUCCCGCCCACAUGGCGAAUGUAGUGUCUACAUGAGGACUUCUGAAACUUUUGUCAUACUCUUUAAUUAUUUUUUAAAUCUUUAUUUAAUGAAAUUAAUCCAACAAUCUCAGAAAUAAAGGUACUGAAGUGUGCUUUCCUUGGCACUGAGAAGGUAGUAUCUGUAUACCUAUGAAAGGUAAAUUGGACCUUAAAGACCACUGUAACUUUAGAACUAAUUAAAAGUACACUACAUGCACAUUCCCAGGUAAUAGUUACACACAAAAGAUGUACUUUCGAUGGUACCACCCCAGCAACAAUGCAAAGUACAGUUCAGUACCUUUAUUUCUUUAAGUCGACUCCUUAGAUAUUACACAAAUUAGGUGCACUGUUUAUUUACUGAGAUCACGAAAACUUUCCACCCACAGAACAGUUAAAAGAUCUGCAUGAACAGCAGUUUAAUUCAAUAUGACAUUAUUAAUUCAAGCUUCAUAUUAGGAAAUUAAACAGGAAAUGCAUUAGUGAAGCUGCCAUCAUUUUAAACACAUUCAGUUAAUCCAUUCAUUUAUCAUUGUGGUCAGGGCUGCCGUGGCUCCAGAGCUUGUCCGGAGAACACUGGCUGUACACCCUGGAUGGGACACGGGGCCAUCGCAGAGACACUAUGCACACAUAUAUUCAUAAUUUAGUGUAGCCAAUCCACCUACCUGUCUUUUUUUGGGAGGAACUAAUUUAAGAAUACUAAUUUAAGCCUUAUAUUACUUAUAUUAUUACUGUCAUAAUUUAAAACCCAUUCAGUUCAAGUAACCAAACAAUUAGGCUUAGUUUUAUAAUAACAAAAAAACCCUAUAAUAAAAAAGUAAUAUUGAUUGAUCUUGAUAUUGAUAUCCACGUUGUUACAUGGAUUUUCAGAAUACUGUAUUAAAACUAUUUACAUUUAUAUCAAAUUCUUUUUUCUGGAGCUCAACUCUGCUCAUCUGUGGUGCUAAAGCUCUGCCGCUGUGUGCUAUUACCCAAUUUAACCCCUGAGUACAGGCAACAGCCUAGGGCCCUGGUGUGCUAAAGAUUGCAUAUGCAAUUAAGAUUUAAGAGCAAUGCUGUUCAGCAUUCUCACAAAGCUAUCACUGUGACAGCGUUAGCCUGUAGCACUCACCAUGUUUACGCUGAAUAAUUAACCUUUUUACCUGACUGGGGUGUGGGCUCACUGACACUCGGAUAGUGUUUUAGCAUCCAGGGAGACUGUUUUCUGUAAACUGCCUGAUAGCUGAGGCUGAGAAAAGCCUUUCUUUAAACAUAUUUUGUUAUAUUGUUGUGUCUCACCACUAUCAUGGUAAUUGCUAGUUUCAUCUAACAUAAUCAUGCACAACAUUUGUACCUAGCUUGAAUAAAUAUCAAAAUCACUUUUCUAAUGUUAUCAUUUUACCUAUAUGUAGUUAUAUGAAUAGUUUACAGUGUGGACUAACAAAACAAGUUAGAUAAUGCUUGAUUAAAAAAAAGAUUAAAUCAAAUGUUGUUAGCUUUACAUUUAGCUACAGUUAACUCAGGGUACCCUUGUGAACCAGUGAAGAAACCUAUCCUGGUUCUUUGUAGCUUGCUAAUGUUUUCUAAGCCUAUGUGAUUGCAAUAUUACCUGUGCUUUGGGCAGGAUGUAAAUAAUUCCUUACUAGGAAAUUAAAAAGCAACUGUCAAAUUUUGUACAUCAUUAUUGCUUAGUAGAUAUAACAAUUUGACUAAGCUGUAAGCUGUUGUUUUAGAUAGCUUAUUUAAGUAGCUGUUAGUGAUUCUUCAUUUCACUUGCAAUAUUAACCCUUUAUUUGGCCUGCACAUUAAUAAAAGAUGUAUUUACUUGU